rfam:Crassostrea gigas strain 05x7-T-G4-1.051#20 contig16842, whole genome shotgun sequence.
CACCAGAUAGCUCAUUUGGUAGAGUACCUGACUAGAGAUUCAGGGCGCCCAGGUUUGAAUCCUGGUCUGGUCC